CAUACCACACACAUCGCUGGCCCCCAAAUCCCAAUCCACCCGUGCCCUACACCAGAGCGCCGCCGCCCCCAACCAUCCGACCUUCCGCCGCCGGCCGUCCUCUAGCCAUCGCCAUCCCCAAAUCACCAGAUCGCCGAUGCCCCCGACCAUCUGAUCCCUCCGCUGUCACCCCCAACACCGCAGCCCCUCCCGUCGCCCCAACCGGAUCCACCACCGCCAUCGCCCCCACCACCGCAGCCCGUCCACCGCCCCAACCAAUGCACCGCUGCGGCCUCCACCCAGACCACUGACGCCGUCGCCCCCCACCAUCGUAGCUCCUCUGCCGCCCCAAGCACCCACUGUUGCUUCCUCCACCCAGACCACUGCCGCCGUCGCCCCCAACCACAACAGAGCGGCACUGCCGAGCUCCAAUUGACACGGAGCAUCACAUCGCCGAGCCACUCCACCGGUGACCAUCCUCCUUUGCUGUACGCCGUCGUUUAUCAGCUACCACCCUCCUCGCGAGCUUCCUCCCCCAAGUUGGCCCUCCGCACAAGCUCACCCAAGCACCAAGGAGCUCCUCCGUUGGAAGUCAGUUAAUGGCAAAUGAAGCAAUGGGUUGCGACCACAAGCAAGCUGAGGAGGUUUCCCAAAGCUGCACAAGUUCACUAAGGUUUGGAAGAUCUUUAAGCUGCUGAAGAUUUGGAAGACCUAAAAUUAAGUUGGUGGAGUGAUAAUGACCUGUGUCUUGUUUGUUGAACUUGAGACUUUCUCUGCUCAUUUUGGUGGUUGUUAAUUAGCUCAUUUAGGUUGUGUGGCACACAUCUAGAAACAUAUGUACAUAUCUAGUGGCACUACUUUAUUUUUGUUGUGUGGCAAACAUAUAUAUGUACUUCUUUUGUGGCACAACCUCUUUAUAUAUGGUCGUUAUGAUUAUCGAAUGAAGUUUAAGGUUUUCGAUGAGGCCUA